rnacentral:tRNA from 1 species
GUCCCGGUAGCUCAGUGGUAGAUCUCCACUACAUAUAUGUGUUGAGUGAAACGCCUAGCAAUAACUGCGAGGAGGUCGCAGGUUCGAAUCCUGCCUGGUGGCA